rnacentral:misc_RNA from 1 species
GAUGAAGAACGCAGCGAAAUGCGAUAAGUAGUGUGAAUUGCAGAAUUCAGUGAAUCAUCGAAUCUUUGAACGCACAUUGCGCCCCUUGGUAUUCCAUGGGGCAUGCCUGUACGAGCGUCAUUUGUACCUUCAAGCUUUGCUUGGUGUUGGGUGUUUGUCCUGAGGGACUCGCCUUAAAGUAAUUGGCAGCCAGUGUUUGGUUUUGAAGCGCAGCACAAGUCGCGAUUCAAAGCUAUACGCCCGCUUCCACAAGCCUUUUUCACUUUUGACCUCGGAUCAGGUAGGGAUACCCGCUGAACUUAAGCAUAUCAAUAAGCGGAGGA